GGAGAGGAGAGCGCGCCCGCGGAGUGCCGUCCAGACCAGCGCGGCCCCGGCGCGAGAGGGGAGCGCCCCGAGCCCAGGCGGCGGCGGCUAGCCCGAGUCCGCGACCCCCGCCCCUCCGCCCGCCAUGGGCGCCGCGGCCCGCACCCUGCGGCUGGCGCUCGGCCUCCUGCUGCUGGCGACGCUGCUUCGCCCGGCCGACGCCUGCAGCUGCU
rnacentral:misc_RNA from 1 species